UUACGGCUUCGUCGGAAAAGAUUUGAUA
rnacentral:sRNA from 1 species